AAGGGGGCAAGGGGGGCACAGGAUCUCUGAAAAGCUUAAUAACCCAUAUUGGGGUUGAAAGUAAAAUACAGUGACCAAGGAACAAGGUUGUGAUUUGAUCAAACAGGCAGCGUGAUUCAGGAAGAAGAGCAGCAGCGACAGUACCGUGUGCUUCUCCCUAUGACCAUGGCUGGCCGAUCCUUCACAUUUGCAGAUGGUUCAUGUGACAGAACAAUUACUCCUGUUAAGGGUUUUGUGGUUUUGUAAUUGUGGAACUGAAUUCAGAUUUGAAGUUUAUAGCCAGGUGUUGAACGAUGAAUGAAUAAAAACUAGCUGGGUUUUUCUAAAGCUGUGUCUGUCAGUUUUUGUAACAUUCCAUGGAACCACGAGAACAGAUUUUAAGGUUAUUGGCUGAUGUGUAAACAUGGCAGUCAAUCAAUCGACAAAUCAUCGAGCAUGAGCAGAGAACAAGGUAGCCUGGUGUAGCGGGGACCCUUAAAUGUAACUACCAUUUUUUUUUCAACCUGGACCCUAUUUUCCUAUGUUUUUGUCUAAGUGACUGAACAAUCUUUGACAUCAGUCCAGUACCUUCACAAAAGUGCUUGUUUUGACGCUGACAUGCUCAGAUUAAUAUUCUAAGUGUCUGACGACAUUAUGGAAAGGAUUACUAAGGAGGUCGACCUUUCUGUUAAAGAGUAAGAUCUUUUAGUUAAACGUAAAAAUAGCCGCGAAAUUGCGUUCGCUAAACCCACCAGACUCCAUGUAAAUAAACAAUAAUUUUAGCAUCGUGAAAUACACUUAAUUCAAAGUGAGACAGAACCUACAUUA